AGUGAACGCUGGCGGUAGGCCUAACACAUGCAAGUCGAACGGCAGCACAGUAAGAGCUUGCUCUUACGGGUGGCGAGUGGCGGACGGGUGAGGAAUACAUCGGAAUCUACUUUUUCGUGGGGGAUAACGUAGGGAAACUUACGCUAAUACCGCAUACGACCUACGGGUGAAAGCAGGGGAUCUUCGGACCUUGCGCGAUUGAAUGAGCCGAUGUCGGAUUAGCUAGUUGGCGGGGUAAAGGCCCACCAAGGUGACGAUCCGUAGCUGGUCUGAGAGGAUGAUCAGCCACACUGGAACUGAGACACGGUCCAGACUCCUACGGGAGGCAGCAGUGGGGAAUAUUGGACAAUGGGCGCAAGCCUGAUCCAGCCAUACCGCGUGGGUGAAGAAGGCCUUCGGGUUGUAAAGCCCUUUUGUCGGGAAAGAAAAGCAGCAGGUUAAUACCCCGCUGUUCUGACGGUACCCAAAGAAUAAGCACCGGCUAACUUCGUG
rnacentral:rRNA from 1 species